AUUUCGUGAUAAGGGCAUUUUCGUAAUAAUUUUUUGAAUCACUCCCACGCCUCAUACAAUGAUUCGUCAUCCAUUUGUUGAAAAUUCGUGAUCUCAUUCCGCAACU
rfam:Gossypium raimondii Chr13_contig_368, whole genome shotgun sequence.